rnacentral:snRNA from 1 species
ACACUCAGUCACACCUUCCCCAGGGUGAGGCUUCUCCAUUCACUGCAGAUAUGCUGAUCCCUGUAAUUUCCCCAGAUGUGGGAAACUCCACUGCAUAAUUUGUGGUAGUGGGGCACUCCAUUUGUGCUCUCCUCUA